UUAAGUUUCAGCGGGUAUCCCUACCUGAUCCGAGGUCAACCUGAAAAAUUGGGGGUUAUUGGCAAGUAACCACCUGGAUCUCCAAAGCGAGAAGAAUUACUACGCUUGAAGCCAAAUGGCACCGCCACUGAUUUUUUAAGACCUGCCAGAAACUGGCAAUGUCCAAUACCAAGCAAAGCUUUGAGGGUUGUAAUGACGCU
rnacentral:misc_RNA from 1 species